rnacentral:tRNA from 1 species
ACGGGUGUAGCUCAAUUGGUAGAGUAGUGGUCUCCAAAACCAUUGGUUGGGAGUUCGAGUCUCUCCUCCCGUG